rnacentral:rRNA from 1 species
GAUGAACGCUAGCUACAGGCUUAACACAUGCAAGUCGAGGGGAAACGAUAUUGGAAGCUUGCUUCUGAUAGGCGUCGACCGGCGCACGGGUGAGUAACGCGUAUCCAACCUGCCCAUCACUUGGGGAUAACCUUGCGAAAGUAAGACUAAUACCCAAUGACGUCUCUAGAAGACAUCUGAAAGAGAUUAAAGAUUUAUCGGUGAUGGAUGGGGAUGCGUCUGAUUAGCUUGUUGGCGGGGUAAUGGCCCACCAAGGCGACGAUCGGUAGCCGGACUGAGAGGUUGAACGGCCACAUUGGGACUGAGACACGGCCCAGACUCCUACGGGAGGCAGCAGUGGGGAAUAUUGCACAAUGGGGGAAACCCUGAUGCAGCGACGCCGCGUAGAGGAAGAAGGUCUUCGGAUUGUAAACUCCUGUUGUUGAGGAAGAUAAUGACGGUACUCAACAAGGAAGUGACGGCUAACUACGUG